AGAGUUUGAUUCUGGCUCAGAUUGAACGCUGGCGGCGUGCUUAACACAUGCAAGUCGAACGAGAAAGUUCCUUCGGGAAUGAGUAGAGUGGCGCACGGGUGAGUAACGCGUGGAUAAUCUACCGGGGAGUGAGGAAUAACAGUUGGAAACGACUGCUAAUACCGCAUACGCUGCAUAUUAUGAUUUAUGCAGGAAAGGAGGCCUCUGCAUAUGCUUCCGCUUUUCGAUGAGUCCGCGUCCCAUUAGCUGGUUGGGGGGGUAACGGCCCACCAAGGCGACGAUGGGUAGCUGGUCUGAGAGGAUGAUCAGCCACACUGGGACUGGAACACGGCCCAGACUCCUACGGGAGGCAGCAGUGGGGAAUAUUGCGCAAUGGGCGAAAGCCUGACGCAGCGACGCCGCGUGAGGGAUGAAGGUUCUCGGAUCGUAAACCUCUGUCAGAAGGGAAGAAAUUAUAUCAUGCUAAUCAGUGGUGUAUUGACGGUACCUUCAAAGGAAGCACCGGCUAACUCCGUGCCAGCAGCCGCGGUAAUACGGAGGGUGCGAGCGUUAAUCGGAAUUACUGGGCGUAAAGCGCACGUAGGCUGUAUGACAAGUCAAGGGUGAAAUGCCACGGCUCAACCGUGGAACUGCCUUUGAAACUGUCAAACUGGAGUAUGUGAGAGGGCGGCGGAAUUCCUGGUGUAGGAGUGAAAUCCGUAGAUAUCAGGAGGAACAUCAGUGGCGAAGGCGGCCGCCUGGCACAAAACUGACGCUGAGGUGCGAAAGCGUGGGUAGCAAACAGGAUUAGAUACCCUGGUAGUCCACGCUGUAAACGAU
rnacentral:rRNA from 1 species